ACGGAGGGGGCUAGCGUUGUUCGGAAUGACUGGGCGUAAAGCGCGCGUAGGCGGAUCGUCAAGUCGGGGGUGAAAUCCCGGGGCUCAACCCCGGAAUGGCCUUCGAGACUGGCGGUCUUGAGUUCGAGAGAGGUGGGUGGAAUUCCGAGUGUAGAGGUGAAAUUCGUAGAUAUUCGGAGGAACACCAGUGGCGAAGGCGGCCCACUGGCUCGACACUGACGCUGAGGCGCGAAAGCGUGGGGAGCAAACAGGA
rnacentral:rRNA from 1 species